AAAUAUAUAUCACCUGAUUAGUGGCGGCUGUCUUGGCUGGUUUAGAAGAAGACGAUGUGACAAUAGUGGAGGUCAAGAAAACACCUAAGCAAAACUGGUCAGGUAUAGGUAUGGAACUCACCUUACAAUCUAGACCGUAUAUCGACUGGCUGCCCGACCUAAUCGAUCUCCCG